rnacentral:rRNA from 1 species
AACGAACGCUGGCGGCAGGCUUAACACAUGCAAGUCGAGCGCCCCGCAAGGGGAGCGACAGACGGGUGAGUAACGCGUGGGAAUCUACCCAUCUCUACGGAAUAACGCAUGGAAACGUGUGCUAAUACCGUAUACGUCCUUCGGGAGAAAGAUUUAUCGGAGAUGGAUGAGCCCGCGUUGGAUUAGCUAGUUGGUGGGGUAAAGGCCUACCAAGGCGACGAUCCAUAGCUGGUCUGAGAGGAUGAUCAGCCACACUGGGACUGAGACACGGCCCAGACUCCUACGGGAGGCAGCAGUGGGGAAUAUUGGACAAUGGGCGCAAGCCUGAUCCAGCCAUGCCGCGUGAGUGAUGAAGGCCCUAGGGUUGUAAAGCUCUUUCAGCUGGGAGGAUAAUGACGGUACCAGCAGAAGAAGCCCCGGCUAACUCCGUGCCAGCCGCCGCAGUAACAC